rnacentral:rRNA from 1 species
GACGAACGCUGGCGGCGUGCCUAAUACAUGCAAGUCGAACUCAGUGGGGACGGGUGAGUAACACGUGGGUAACCUCCCAUCAGAGGGGAUAACACUUGGAAACAGGUGCUAAACCGAUACUGAUUGAUGGACCCGCGGUGCAUUAGCUAGUGGGUGAGGUAACGGCUCACCAAGGCCACGUGUCAUAGCCUACCGGAGAUGGUGAGCGGCCACACUGGGACUGAGACACGGUCCAGCCUCCUACGGGAGGCAGCAGUAGGGAAUCUUCGGCAAUGGACGAAAGUCUGACCGAGCAACGCCGCGUGAGUGAAGAAGGUUUUCGGAUUGUAAAGCUCUGUUGUUAGAGAAGCGGUAUCUAACCAGAAAGCCACGGCUAACUACGUGCCAGCAGCCGCGGUAAUUC